rnacentral:rRNA from 1 species
CCUACGGGAGGCAGCAGUGAGGAAUAUUGGUCAAUGGGCGCGAGCCUGAACCAGCCAAGUAGCGUGAAGGAUGACUGCCCUACGGGUUGUAAACUUCUGUUAUAAAGGAAUAAAGUGAGGCACGUGUGCCGUUUUGUAUGUACGUUAUGAAUAAGGAUCGGCUAACGCCGUGCCAGCAGCCGCGGUAAUACGGAGGAUCCGAGCGUUAUCCGGAUUUAUUGGGUGUAAAGGGAGCGUAGAUGGGUUGUUAAGUCAGUUGUGAAAGUUUGCGGCUCAACCGGAAAAGUUCAAUUGAUACUGGCAUCCUUGAUUACAGUUGAGGUAGGCGGCAUUCGUGGUGUAGCGGU